UUCAAUCCCAUGGGAGUCAUGGGUCCCAAAUUUUGGACACUUUCUGCAAGUUAACCCUUUUGAGGUUCUUUGAUUCAGAAUUUGUUGCCCUAUGAUGCAUUGUUUUGCCCAAUUGAAGAUUACAAAACAACCAAACAGACAUAAGAGUUUUAGUAGAAUAUAGAUGAAUAGAAAGUUCAUUAGAUGUUGCUGGAAUAUCUAGGGACACUUCCUUGAUUGUUGCGGAGAAAUAAUUCAUUGGAAGAUUGAUGCUUUGCAUACAACAGAUCUUGAGAUCUGCAGAUCUGCACAAGGAGCUUGAAGAGCAACAACAGUGUCAUACGUAUGGUGAUGCAAGCAGGUCAACGUCACGAUUUACAUAAUUGCAUUAGUCAUCCCCAUUUAAUUUAGCCAUCUCUGCAAGUUCCAUCAUCUUCACCAACCAUUCCUUUGUGGUAAGUCUUUCUAUUUUUGAGCAUAUAAUAGUUUUGUUGCAGCUGUCAUAUAUGAAAACAACAUUCUGUGGCAUUUUUCUAGUUGCUUGUCCAUUAAUCUCAAAAGUAAAGUCUCUAGUUUCAGUUGCAAUGUAACCUUUAAAAUCUUCUUAAUCGUGCGUGUGUUUGUAUCCAAAAUGUUUCGUUUUUUUAACACGUUCACCAAAUGAACAUGAUAACAUAUGACAUUUCCAAGAAAGAUUUGAAAUAGUUUCUCUGUGACAAAUUCCAGUGAUACCUCAUUUUAUAAAAAUUCUCCUUAUGGCUGAAACAUAAUGUAAAUUUCAAUCCUUUCAACCACACAAUCAUCCCAUUAGUCAAUUCGUAUAUCAUAGCUAAAAUUUUUAGCUGAUUUUAUCAUACAUUCUUUCACUUGUUGUUCUUCUGUCUCAUAUUUCAGUAAAAGUGCAUACAUUUUAGCAACAACUUGUUCAUCAUUAGCACAUAAUCUCUUUCAAAUUCAGUCUUGCUUUGUUCAAAACCAUAAACCUUUUAUCCACUUUAAACCCUUGUUAAUUGUAUAUAAGAAAAACAUGGACAAGAAUAUCCUUGAGAGGGGAAGCUACUAUGUGGAGUAUGGAACUAUAGAAACUAAUAGUUAUUGUUUGUAAAUAUAAACCCAGACAACACACACUGUUUACCAAAUAUUAAUGGUGAUUAUGUUAAAAAAAA